GAUGAAGAACGUAGCGAAAUGCGAUAAGUAGUGUGAAUUGCAGAAUUCAGUGAAUCAUCGAAUCUUUGAACGCACAUUGCGCCCCUUGGUAUUCCAUGGGGCAUGCCUGUUCGAGCGUCAUUUGUACCUUCAAGCUCUGCUUGGUGUUGGGUGUUUGUCUCGCCUCUGCGUGUAGACUCGCCUCAAAACAAUUGGCAGCCGGCGUAUUGAUUUCGGAGCGCAGUACAUCUCGCGCUUUGCACUCAUAACGACGACGUCCAAAAGUACAUUUUUACACUCUUGACCUCGGAUCAGGUAGGGAUACCCGCUGAACUUACGCAUAUCAAUAAGCGGAGGA
rnacentral:misc_RNA from 1 species